rnacentral:rRNA from 1 species
UACGAAGGGAGCUAGCGUUGUUCGGAAUUACUGGGCGUAAAGGGCGCGUAGGCGGUUUUGUAAGUCAGAUGUGAAAGCCCCGGGCUUAACCUGGGAGGUGCAUUUGAAACUGCAAGGCUUGAGAUCGAGAGAGGAAAGCGGAAUUACGAGUGUAGAGGUGAAAUUCGUAGAUAUUCGUAAGAACACCAGUGGCGAAGGCGACUUUCUGGCUCGAUACUGACGCUAAGGCGCGAAAGCGUGGGGAGCAAACAGG